GUCCUUCUCUGCAGGGCUGCUCUCAGUGGAUUAUCCCAGUUUGUAGGUGUACCUGACAUUGCCCCAUCCAUGUGCAACACAGUUCUUUUGGCUUUGUUAAAUCUCAUGAGAUUCUUAUAGGCCCAGUUCUUGAGCUUGUCCCGGUCCCUCUGGAUGGCAUCCUUUCCUUCCAUUAUACCAGCUGCACCACUCAGCUUGGUGUUGUCUGCAAACUUGCUGAAGCUACACUCAAUCCCACUGUCAAUGUCAUUGAUAAAGAUGCUGAAGACCACCGGUCCCAAGAUGGAACCACUGGGGGACACCACUUGUCAUGGCCUCCACCUAGAUGUAGCACCACUGACCACAAACCUCCUGCCUUACCACCCAACCAUUUUUUCAUCCAUUAAAUGGUCCACCCUUCAAAUUCAUAUCUCUCCAAUUUAGAGAGAUGUUUUAAAAGGGCAACUUUGUGUUUGGCUCCAUUGUGUUCUCACCUGAGAUGCUGGUGCCUAGAGGUAUAGUUCUAGCUUCUGGCAGUGUGAUAUAUAUGGUAGGAGCUACAGGUGAACUUAAAAUGACCAUUUCUAAUAUGCAUUGGUAUGUUAAGUCUUCUGUCCUUCUGUGUAGCAGCUUUUCAGUUUUGUCACAGCUGUGUUUAAGGUGAUAGACUGCCAUUACAUUGUACCUUAGUUUUUCAUUAGAUUGCCGAAGAAUUUAUGAUGCCACCUGGGAAAUUUAUAACUGGAAUAACUCAGAUUAGAAGGGACCUUUACGGGUCAUCUUCUCUAGCCUCCUGCUGUCUUUUGGGAUGCCUAUUUUGCUGGAGUAGUCCCCAAUCCAUUCUUUUUUGGCUCUGGGUCAUGCAUUGUUUACAAACUCAAUAUUCAACAAAAUCUGAGAGCAGACCUUCCCAGCAAGGUGAAUAUCUUAUGCUUUUGGCCUUUUUUUGUGUGUGUGUAUGUGCUCUUUAUGAUUGCACCAACAUUUUCCUUGCUGCUGAGAUGUCUUUUAAUGCCUUCUGCACCCUGUCUGUGUUUUGACUCCAAUGAAACUGUCAAUUUCCUGUCCCCUAUGUGCUCAGACACUAUGGAGACAUUUCUCAUCUAUUUCUUUCAUAUUAUAUGCAGCUUUUAUGGUAUGGAGUGGCUUUGUGCAUCUUUAGAUUUAUGCUGGUCUACCUCUUAUGGCUUUGUCACUCUUCAAAACAGUUUGCAAAUGCACUGUAUCUCAGAUGGAAAGCACAUUCUUUCACCUACUUAAUAUUCUUGCAUAAAUAUACGCGUGUGUUCUGUUUCUGUAAUAACUCCUAUUCAGACUUCUGGCAGAUUUUGCUUAUCUUCAGUGCUUUUCUGUGUGAUGGAUUGUCUGUCUGUCAUGUAGUGGACUUGAGCAUUAAUCCCCAGUGAGGAAGAGCUAAAGAAAUUUUUCUUCCUCUCUCCAUUUUAAAGGAGCAGAAUCAGAUAGCGUCUGACCUGUCACUUCCUCCUCCUCUUCUCAGAAGCUGGAAGACUGCAGUUCCUGGCUCCCACAUCCUCAUCUCUACUCAGAUAUGUGCAUCAACUAUUGAUAAUUAUAAGAAGUCCAGGGUUCUUCAGUGUUUGAUUCUGCUCUAGCUCUUAGUAGAGCAAUCAUAAUUGGAAGUUUGUGUG
ensembl:lncRNA